UACGUAGGGUGCGAGCGUUGUCCGGAAUUAUUGGGCGUAAAGAGCUCGUAGGCGGUUUGUCGCGUCUGCCGUGAAAGUCCGGGGCUCAACUCCGGAUCUGCGGUGGGUACGGGCAGACUAGAGUGGUGUAGGGGAGACUGGAAUUCCUGGUGUAGCGGUGAAAUGCGCAGAUAUCAGGAGGAACACCGAUGGCGAAGGCAGGUCUCUGGGCAUUAACUGACGCUGAGGAGCGAAAGCAUGGGGAGCGAACAGG
rnacentral:rRNA from 1 species